AGAGUUUGAUCCUGGCUCAGGACGAACGCUGGCGGCGUGCCUAACACAUGCAAGUCGAACGGAACUGUUUUGAAAGAUUUCUUCGGAAUGAAUUUGAUUUAGUUUAGUGGCGGACGGGUGAGUAACGCGUGAGUAACCUGCCUUCAAGAGGGGGAUAACAUUCUGAAAAGAAUGCUAAUACCGCAUGACAUAUCGGAACCACAUGGUUUUGAUAUCAAAGAUUUUAUCGCUUGGAGAUGGACUCGCGUCCGAUUAGUUAGUUGGUGAGGUAACGGCUCACCAAGACUGCGAUCGGUAGCCGGACUGAGAGGUUGAACGGCCACAUUGGGACUGAGACACGGCCCAGACUCCUACGGGAGGCAGCAGUGGGGGAUAUUGCGCAAUGGGGGCAACCCUGACGCAGCAACGCCGCGUGAAGGAUGAAGGUUUUCGGAUUGUAAACUUCUUUUAUUAAGGACGAAACUUGACGGUACUUAAUGAAUAAGCUCCGGCUAACUACGUGCCAGCAGCCGCGGUAAUACGUAGGGAGCAAGCGUUGUCCGGAUUUACUGGGUGUAAAGGGUGCGUAGGCGGCUUUGCAAGUCAGAUGUGAAAUCUAUGGGCUCAACCCAUAAACUGCAUUUGAAACUGUAGAGCUUGAGUGAAGUAGAGGCAGGCGGAAUUCCCCGUGUAGCGGUGAAAUGCGUAGAGAUGGGGAGGAACACCAGUGGCGAAGGCGGCCUGCUGGGCUUUAACUGACGCUGAGGCACGAAAGCGUGGGUAGCAAACAGGAUUAGAUACCCUGGUAGUCCACGCUGUAAACG
rnacentral:rRNA from 1 species